GAUGAACGCUGGCGGCGUGCCUAAUACAUGCAAGUCGAGCGAACAGACGAGGAGCUUGCUCCUCUGACGUUAGCGGCGGACGGGUGAGUAACACGUGGAUAACCUACCUAUAAGACUGGGAUAACUUCGGGAAACCGGAGCUAAUACCGGAUAAUAUAUUGAACCGCAUGGUUCAAUAGUGAAAGACGGUUUUGCUUCCACUUAUAGAUGGAUCCGCGCCGCAUUAGCUAGUUGGUAAGGUAACGGCUUACCAAGGCAACGAUGCGUAGCCGACCUGAGAGGGUGAUCGGCCACACUGGAACUGAGACACGGUCCAGACUCCUACGGGAGGCAGCAGUAGGGAAUCUUCCGCAAUGGGCGAAAGCCUGACGGAGCAACGCCGCGUGAGUGAUGAAGGUCUUCGGAUCGUAAAACUCUGUUAUUAGGGAAGAACAAAUGUGUAAGUAACUAUGCACGUCUUGACGGUACCUAAUCAGAAAGCCACGGCUAACUACGU
rnacentral:rRNA from 1 species